rnacentral:rRNA from 1 species
GGUUGAUCCUGCCGGCGGCCACCGCUAUUGGAAUCCGAUUAAGACAUGCGAGUCGAGAGUCUUCGGGACUCGGCAGACUGCUCAGUAACACGUGGAUAACAUGCCCUUAGGUGGGGGAUAACCUCGGGAAACUGAGAAUAAUACCCCAUAGAUCUAGAAUGCUGGAAUGCUUUUAGGUCAAAAGCCCCGGCGCCUAAGGAUUGGUCUACGGCCUAUCAGGUAGUAGUGGGUGUAAUUGACCCACUAGCCUAUGACGGGUAUGGGCCUUGGGAGAGGGAGCCCAGAGAUGGACUCUGAGACACGAGUCCAGGCCCUACGGGGCGCAGCAGUCGCGAAAACUUCACAAUGGGGGAAACCCUGAUGAGGGGAUUCCAAGUGCCAGCACAAAGUGUUGGCUGUUCUUCUGUCUAAAUCGCAGGAGGAGUAAGGGCCGGGUAAGACGGGUGCCAGCCGCCGCGGUAAUACCCGCGGCCCGAGUGGUGGUCGAUUUUAUUGAGCCUAAAACGUUCGUAGCCUGCCUAGUAAAUCCUUGGGUAAWUCGGCCAGCCUAACUGUCCGAAUUCCGAGGAGACUGCUAGGCUUGGGACCGGGAGAAGUCAGAGGUACUUCUGGGGUAGGGGUAAAAUCCUGUAAUCUUGGAAGGACCACCGGUGGCGAAGGCGUCUGACUAGAACGGAUCCGACGGUGAGGGACGAAGCCCUGGGGCGCAAACGGGAUUAGAUACCCCGGUAGUCCAGGGUGUAAACGCUGCGGGCUUGGUGUUGGGGGUCCUUCGAGGGCGCCCAGUGCCGGAGAGAAGUUGUUAAGCCUGCUGCUUGGGGAAUACGUCCGCAAGGAUGAAACUUAAAGGAAUUGGCGGGGGAGCACCGCAACGGGAGGAGCGUGCGGUUCAAUUGGAUUC